rfam:Pyrenophora tritici-repentis Pt-1C-BFP supercont1.5 genomic scaffold, whole genome shotgun sequence.
ACCCGGUUGGCACAAUUGGCUAGCGCGUGAGACUUUUAAUCUCAAGGUUGAGGGUUCGAGCCCCUCAUCGGGUG